rnacentral:rRNA from 1 species
AAAAGCACUUUGAAGAGAGAGUUAAAGAGGACGUGAAACCGAUGAGAUGGAAACGGACAGAGCUAGCGUAUCUGGCUUGCAUUCAGCUUCUGCGGCCACUACUGAUGCGUCGCUGACCUCCAGAUUGGGGCUUUGACUAGUCGGUCGGUGGCUGUGUUGUGCAUUUGCAAGUGGAGUGCGUCGAGGCAUCUGGGAUGGCGGAAUGAACUUGGCUUUGAGGCCAGCUUGCCGGUACCCGGGCUUGGGGAUUUCUGUUCGUUCUAUGUGUUUUGCGGUGGGACAAGCCUUUGCGAGUCUGGUUGGGUGCCGAGCUGGGUGUCGGUGGCGGUCGCAUGCGACACGUACUGUGCCACCAGUUCGGUCCUGGCCGAACUCACUCCAUGUCCAAUCUCGGCGUAAAAGCUGGUCAUCUUUCCGACCCGUCUUGAAACACGGACCAAGGAGUUUAUCGUGUGCGCGAGUCAUUGGGCGUUAAAAACCCAAAGGCGAAAUGAAAGUAAAUGUAUCCAUUCGGAACUGACGUGCGACCCAGGUCACCGCGGUGUCCAGGAGCAGCAUGGCCCCAUCCUGACUGCUUGCAGUGGGGUGGAGGAAGAGCGUACGCGACGAGACCCGAAAGAUGGUGAACUAUUCCUGAGCAGGAUGAAGCCUGAGGAAACUCUGGUGGAAGUCCGAAGCGAUUCUGACGUGCAAAUCGAUCGUCUGACUUGGGUAUAGGGGCGAAAGACUAAUCGAACCAUC